rnacentral:rRNA from 1 species
GACGAACGCUGGCGGCGUGCCUAACACAUGCAAGUCGAGCGAAGCGGCGGAUGGGUGAGUAACGCGUGGGUAACCUGGCCUAAAGUCUGGGAUACCAUUCGGAAACAGAUUCUAAUACCGGAUACAAAAGGAUGGCGCUGCGGGGGAUUAGCUAGUUGGUAAGGUAACGGCUUACCAAGGCGAUGAUGCAUAGCCGGGUUGAGAGGAUGAUCGGCCACAUUGGGACUGAGACACGGCCCAAACUCCUACGGGAGGCAGCAGUAGGGAAUCUUGCACAAUGGACGAAAGUCUGAUGGAGCAACGCCGCGUGAGUGAAGAAGGUCUUCGGAUCGUAAAGCACUGUUAGUGGUGAGGCGUUACUCAAACAGAAAGCAACGGCUAACUCCGUGCCAGCAGCCGCGGUAAUUC